UUUUUUUUUUUUUUUUUAAGAAAAACUCUAAAAAUCUUUUUUCUCAAGGGCUUGCAGGAUAGAAGAGUUUCUUGAAUAUCAUGUCAAGAAUUAUACAUAGGUGUAUAGUCCUCUACUGUGUUAAAAGAGUGCACAAUUGACCCCAAAAGAAAAAUCUUAGAAUUAUAAGAAAGAAAGACACUUUUAAUUAUAAUAAUUUAGGCCUCCUAAUUCUCCUCGUCUUGUUCUCUCUUUUGGUCUCCAAACAAACAAGAAAAACACAAAACAAAUAAUAGCCUAAAAGAAGAGAAGGAAAAGGAGAAGGAAAUGGAACUUUCAAGUCAUGAAGAGGAGAUCCCCAUUCCAAUAAACAGUAGUUAUGGUGGGGCACAUGGACAUGGGCAUGGGCACAUGAUCCAUCAUGAUCAUCCUGCAACCCACAACCACAUCAUCCCUUCCUCAGCUCCCCAAAUGCCCUCCAAUAAUGGCUCCUCCUCCAUACCCUCAGCCCUGGAGGACCACCAUGCUCCCUUCAAGAAAAUGGUGAGGUACAGAGAAUGCCUCAAGAACCAUGCAGCUGCUAUGGGAGGCAAUGCCACUGAUGGGUGUGGUGAGUUCAUGCCUAGUGGUGAAGAAGGUAGCAUUGAAGCUCUCACAUGCUCAGCCUGCAAUUGUCACAGAAACUUCCACAGGAAAGAAAUAGAAGGGGAAGCGUCCUCUUGUGAUUGCUACCAUAGCAACCCACAUUUCAGCAGGGUUGGAAGGAGAGUCAUUUUAGGCCAUCACAAGAACAUAUUAGCACCUGAAGCUUUAGGGUACGCUGCAGCUGCAGGAACCUUUGUGCCCUCAAGAGCAGCAGCUACUCCCCACCACCAGAUGAUACUGUCAUACAACAUGAGUUCCCUUCCUUCUGAGUCUGAUGAGCAAGAAGACGGUGGUGGGGUAAUAAUGGCCAGGCCUGCACAACUUGUGAAGAAAAGGUUCAGGACAAAGUUCACACAGGAACAGAAGGAGAAAAUGCUCAACUUUGCAGAGAAAGUUGGUUGGAAGAUACAAAAGCAAGAAGAAGCUGUGGUGCAACAGUUCUGCCAAGAGAUUGGAGUCAAGAGAAGAGUUCUCAAGGUUUGGAUGCACAAUAACAAGAAUAAUUUAGCCAAGAAGAACCCUCCUUCUCCUAUUACUACUACUACUACUGCUUAGUUAUGAAGAUUAUCAACUCAAAAACUUCAUUCGCUCCCUCUAAUCAGUUUGUGUUUUAGCCCUACUUAAUUACUAUUAGCUAAAAGAAUUUUCACCUUUUUUCUUUACAAUCUUUUUUCAUAUUAUUAUAUCUUACUUUUUGGGCAUGUUUCUCUGAGUUCUCUUUAUAUUUAAAAUAAUAUUGGUGGUGCAUGUAAUGUUAAUUAGUUUAGAAAAACUGAGUUUGGUAGAGUUAAUUUCAUCAGUUAUGGAUGAUUAUGCUUUUUUCCAAUCCAUUUUGGUAUAGAAAUGGAUUUGGAUUGCAGCAAUUUAGUCCAUUUAACAGCUUAUUAUAGUUUAGUUCCCUUCUUUUCUCUCUUCUUAUUAUAAAUACAUAAGUUGCCUUUGUUAUUUUUCACCAAAAUAUACUAAAUUUGGAUGACAUUUU
rnacentral:misc_RNA from 1 species